UACGUAGGGUGCGAGCGUUGUCCGGAAUUAUUGGGCGUAAAGAGCUCGUAGGCGGUCUGUCGCGUCGGUCGUGAAAACUUGGGGCUUAACCCUGAGCUUGCGGUCGAUACGGGCAUGACUGGAGUUCGGCAGGGGAGACUGGAAUUCCUGGUGUAGCGGUGAAAUGCGCAGAUAUCAGGAGGAACACCGGUGGCGAAGGCGGCAUCCUGGACCGGUAUUGACGCUGAGGCGCGAAAGCCAGGGGAGCAAACGGG
rnacentral:rRNA from 1 species